rnacentral:rRNA from 1 species
UACAGAGGUGGCAAGCGUUGUUCGGAAUUACUGGGCGUAAAGGGCGCGUAGGCGGUCUUGCACGUCCUGUGUGAAAUCCCUCGGCUCAACUGAGGAACUGCACAGGAAACUGCUUGGCUUGAGUUCGGGAGAGGGAAGCGGAAUUCCGGGUGUAGCGGUGAAAUGCGUAGAUAUCCGGAGGAACACCGGUGGCGAAGGCGGCUUCCUGGACCGACACUGACGCUGAGGCGCGAAAGCUAGGGGAGCAAACGGG